rnacentral:rRNA from 1 species
AGCAGCCGCGGUAAUUCCAGCUCCAAUAGCGUAUAUUAAAGUUGUUGCAGUUAAAAAGCUCGUAGUUGAAUUUCGGGAUCAGCAGGUUGGUCGUGCCUCUGGUAUGCACUGGUUUCGCUGAUUCCUCCUUUCUGAAGAACUGUAAUGUCAUUAAUUUGGUGUUGCAGGGAAACAGGACUGUUACUUUGAAAAAAUUAGAGUGUUUAAAGCAAGCUAACGCUUGAAUACAUUAGCAUGGAAUAAUGAAAUAGGACGUUUGAUCCUAUUUUGUUGGUUUCUAGGAUUGACGUAAUGAUUAAUAGGGAUAGUUGGGGGCAUUAGUAUUCAAUUGUCAGAGGUGAAAUUCUUGGAUUUAUUGAAGACUAACUACUGCGAAAGCAUUUGCCAAGGAUGUUUUCAUUAAUCAAGAACGAAAGUUAGGGGAUCGAAGACGAUCAGAUACCGUCGUAGUCUUAACCAUAAACUAUGCCGACUAGGGAUCGGAUGAUGUUAAUUUUUUAANGACUCA